rnacentral:rRNA from 1 species
UACGUAGGGGCCGAGCGUUGUCCGGAGUUAUUGGGCGUAAAGCGCGCGCAGGCGGCCUCGCGCGCCCGACGUGAAAGCCCCCGGCUUAACCGGGGAGGGUCGUUGGGGACGGCGGGGCUUGAGGGCGGGAGAGGUCGGUGGAAUUCCCGGUGUAGUGGUGAAAUGCGUAGAGAUCGGGAGGAACACCAGUGGCGAAGGCGGCUUUCUGGUCUGCUCUUGACGCUGAGGCGCGAAAGCUAGGGUAGCAAACGGG